rnacentral:rRNA from 1 species
GACGAACGCUGGCGGCGUGCUUAACACAUGCAAGUCGAACGGAAAGGCCCUGCUUUUGUGGGGUGCUCGAGUGGCGAACGGGUGAGUAACACGUGAGUAACCUGCCCUUGACUUUGGGAUAACUUCAGGAAACUGGGGCUAAUACCGGAUAGGAGCUCCUGCUGCAUGGUGGGGGUUGGAAAGUUUCGGCGGUUGGGGAUGGACUCGCGGCUUAUCAGCUUGUUGGUGGGGUAGUGGCUUACCAAGGCUUUGACGGGUAGCCGGCCUGAGAGGGUGACCGGGCACAUUGGGAAUGAGAUUCGGCCCAGACUUCCACGGGGGGCAGGAGGUGGGAAUUAUUCAACAUGGGCGGAAGCCCUAAGCAGCAACGCCGGGGGGCGGAAUAACGCCUUCGGGUUGUAAACCGCUUUCGCCUGUGACGAAGCGUGAGUGACGGUAAUGGGUAAAGAAGCACCGGCUAACUACGUG